GGGUCUGACAUCUUACCGAUCGAUUGGAUUGGUUUGAGGUGAGUUGGUUGCUGACUUAGAGUUUUAUUUUUGGUUAGUUUUUUCAGGUAAAACUGUAGUGUUUGAUCAUUUGAAAAUUUUGAUUGAUUCUGGAGUCUAGAGUAUUCAAAUGUUUUUCAUUGUUGUUGUUGGAAGUAUCUGGGUUUUCUAAUUUGAUAAGAACUUAUUGAGGUAUUAUUGGGUUUUGAUUUGGGAAGGAAGGAAGGAAUGUACCUCGAUGUAUAAGUUUCAGUUACCUGUAAAGUGUAGAUCUGGUAUGUCUCAAAGUAAAUGUCUCCAAGCAUAA
rnacentral:lncRNA from 1 species